UACGAAGGGAGCUAGCGUUGUUCGGAAUCACUGGGCGUAAAGCGCACGUAGGCGGAUGUGUCAGUCAGGGGUGAAAUCCCGGAGCUCAACUUCGGAACUGCCUUUGAUACAGCACGUCUUGAGUCCGGAAGAGGUGGGUGGAAUUCCUAGUGUAGAGGUGAAAUUCGUAGAUAUUCGGAAGAACACCAGUGGCGAAGGCGACUCACUGGCCCGAUACUGACGCUGAGGCGCGAAAGCGUGGGGAGCAAACAGG
rnacentral:rRNA from 1 species